CGGAUACGGCUUCAACACCAACACACAUGUCAGCACCGACAACUGUCCCAAUCAGACCGACUUCUCAGCUGAUCUCCUUCUGUCUAGCGAUCCUACCGGGUACCCAAUAGAUGCCAUCAACCUUGAACUGGUAAAUAGACCCGACCUUCUCAACUGCUUAGCGAGAGAGGUUGUCCUCCCAACCGCACCUAAAGUACCCGCAGAUCCUGUGCUUACAGUCGUCAAGCAAACCUGCCCCUCGGCUAACCCCAUGCUUUGGAGUUUCUUCCGUUACAAUGCAAG